GAAAUAAUGAAUGCUUUGUUCUAAGAUUUACUUCAUUGAUGUUCAGAAUUUCAAAUAGUUUCCAUGUGCUCACUGUUGGAAAGGUCAUUCGAGUUUGAAAGUUGUUUAUUUUAAAAUCUCAACAUGGCCUUAAAAAAUUCCAUUUUUAAACAUCCUUGCUAGUGCAAUUAAUUAGUUGUUAUUGGAAUUAGAUUGUUAUCAUAUACAGCUAGAGAAUACUUUUCCUCCAUAAUUUUUAAGGAAAGAACCUGUUCACUUAUUUUUCCAUUUAAACAGUUUUAAAUUCUGUAUUCUGGUUCCUUACUUAACUGUUUCUUCCCUUAGGAAUUCAGAGGCUAUCGUUGCAACCUGCACAUUGAAAAUAAAUCAUACACUUACUUAACCAAAUAAGUAGAUUUGGUUAGUUAGCAGUUUUCACAAUGUUCUUCAAUGGGCAGAGUGAUUUUGGAAUUUUGUGUAAUUUAUCCCCUAGUAUCUAUAGCUAAGUAAAAUUAUGUACUCCCAAGAUAGAAUAGAAAAGAUAAAUAGUAGCUGAGGACACCAGAAUCGAUGAGAGGUGAAACACUAAAGCCCCUGAGAUUAGUAGUUUUAUAAAAACACAACUGAAAUUUGUAAAAUUUAACUCUCUUUAAAAUGACAGUUGAUACAUGUUAGAAUUCCUGAAAGAAACAGCAGAGAACAAACAGAAAAGUGUGGGAGGAGGAAGGGGGAGAUAA
rnacentral:lncRNA from 1 species